GGCAAUGUAGCUUAGCUGGCUAAAGCACCUGCCUAGUAAGUGGAAGAUCCUUGGUUUGACUCCCAGCAGUGCCU
rnacentral:tRNA from 1 species